rnacentral:rRNA from 1 species
GGGUUGUGAGGUUAAGCGACUAAGCGUACACGGUGGAUGCCCUGGCAGUCAGAGGCGAUGAAGGACGUGCUAAUCUGCGAUAAGCGCCGGUAAGGUGAUAUGAACCGUUAUAACCGGCGAUUUCCGAAUGGGGAAACCCAGUGUGACUCGUCACACUAUCAUUAACUGAAUCCAUAGGUUAAUGAGGCGAACCGGGGGAACUGAAACAUCUAAGUACCCCGAGGAAAAGAAAUCAACCGAGAUUCCCCCAGUAGCGGCGAGCGAACGGGGAGGAGCCCAGAGCCUGAAUCAGCAUGUGUGUUAGUGGAAGCGUCUGGAAAGGCGCGCGAUACAGGGUGACAGCCCCGUACACAAAAGCGCAUGUGCUGUGAGCUCGAUGAGUAGGGCGGGACACGUGGUAUCCUGUCUGAAUAUGGGGGGACCAUCCUCCAAGGCUAAAUACUCCUGACUGACCGAUAGUGAACCAGUACCGUGAGGGAAAGGCGAAAAGAACCCCGGCGAGGGGAGUGAAAAAGAACCUGAAACCGUGUACGUACAAGCAGUGGGAGCACAGGUUUACCUGUGUGACUGCGUACCUUUUGUAUAAUGGGUCAGCGACUUAUAUUCUGUAGCAAGGUUAACCGCAUAGGGGAGCCGCAGGGAAACCGAGUCUUAACCGGGCGUUAAGUUGCAGGGUAUAGACCCGAAACCCGGUGAUCUAGCCAUGGGCAGGUUGAAGGUUGGGUAACACUAACUGGAGGACCGAACCGACUAAUGUUGAAAAAUUAGCGGAUGACCUGUGGCUGGGGGUGAAAGGCCAAUCAAACCGGGAGAUAGCUGGUUCUCCCCGAAAGCUAUUUAGGUAGCGCCUCGUGAAUUCAUCUCCGGGGGUAGAGCACUGUUUCGGCUAGGGGGCCAUCCCGGCUUACCAACCCGAUGCAAACUGCGAAUACCGGAGAAUGUUAUCACGGGAGACACACGGCGGGUGCUAACGUCCGUCGUGAAGAGGGAAACAACCCAGACCGCCAGCUAAGGUCCCAAAGUCAUGGUUAAGUGGGAAACGAUGUGGGAAGGCCCAGACAGCCAGGAUGUUGGCUUAGAAGCAGCCAUCAUUUAAAGAAAGCGUAAUAGCUCACUGGUCGAGUCGGCCUGCGCGGAAGAUGUAACGGGGCUAAACCAUGCACCGAAGCUGCGGCAGCGAACGUAUCACCCAAGACAACUUUGCGGAGUUGACGAUUGACGGAGCGAAGCGACGUCAAAGCGUUCAUUAAAGUCGAGUUGGCUUAGGGAUACGUUCGUUGGGUAGGGGAGCGUUCUGUAAGCCUGUGAAGGUGUGCUGUGAGGCAUGCUGGAGGUAUCAGAAGUGCGAAUGCUGACAUAAGUAACGAUAAAGCGGGUGAAAAGCCCGCUCGCCGGAAGACCAAGGGUUCCUGUCCAACGUUAAUCGGGGCAGGGUGAGUCGACCCCUAAGGCGAGGCCGAAAGGCGUAGUCGAUGGGAAACGGGUUAAUAUUCCCGUACUUGGUGUUACUGCGAAGGGGGGACGGAGAAGGCUAUGUUGGCCGGGCGACGGUUGUCCCGGUUUAAGCGUGUAGGUGUGUGUUCCAGGUAAAUCCGGUUCACUUUAACACUGAGGCGUGACGACGAGGCACUACGGUGCUGAAGCAACAAAUGCCCUGCUUCCAGGAAAAGCCUCUAAGCAUCAGGUAACAUCAAAUCGUACCCCAAACCGACACAGGUGGUCAGGUAGAGAAUACCAAGGCGCUUGAGAGAACUCGGGUGAAGGAACUAGGCAAAAUGGUGCCGUAACUUCGGGAGAAGGCACGCUGACACGUAGGUGAAGUGAUUUACUCAUGGAGCUGAAGUCAGUCGAAGAUACCAGCUGGCUGCAACUGUUUAUUAAAAACACAGCACUGUGCAAACACGAAAGUGGACGUAUACGGUGUGACGCCUGCCCGGUGCCGGAAGGUUAAUUGAUGGGGUCAGCGCAAGCGAAGCUCCUGAUCGAAGCCCCGGUAAACGGCGGCCGUAACUAUAACGGUCCUAAGGUAGCGAAAUUCCUUGUCGGGUAAGUUCCGACCUGCACGAAUGGCGUAAUGAUGGCCAGGCUGUCUCCACCCGAGACUCAGUGAAAUUGAACUCGCUGUGAAGAUGCAGUGUACCCGCGGCAAGACGGAAAGACCCCGUGAACCUUUACUAUAGCUUGACACUGAACAUUGAGCCUUGAUGUGUAGGAUAGGUGGGAGGCUUUGAAGUGUGGACGCCAGUCUGCAUGGAGCCGACCUUGAAAUACCACCCUUUAAUGUUUGAUGUUCUAACGUGGACCCGUAAUCCGGGUUGCGGACAGUGUCUGGUGGGUAGUUUGACUGGGGCGGUCUCCUCCUAAAGAGUAACGGAGGAGCACGAAGGUUGGCUAAUCCUGGUCGGACAUCAGGAGGUUAGUGCAAUGGCAUAAGCCAGCUUGACUGCGAGCGUGACGGCGCGAGCAGGUGCGAAAGCAGGUCAUAGUGAUCCGGUGGUUCUGAAUGGAAGGGCCAUCGCUCAACGGAUAAAAGGUACUCCGGGGAUAACAGGCUGAUACCGCCCAAGAGUUCAUAUCGACGGCGGUGUUUGGCACCUCGAUGUCGGCUCAUCACAUCCUGGGGCUGAAGUAGGUCCCAAGGGUAUGGCUGUUCGCCAUUUAAAGUGGUACGCGAGCUGGGUUUAGAACGUCGUGAGACAGUUCGGUCCCUAUCUGCCGUGGGCGCUGGAGAACUGAGGGGGGCUGCUCCUAGUACGAGAGGACCGGAGUGGACGCAUCACUGGUGUUCGGGUUGUCAUGCCAAUGGCACUGCCCGGUAGCUAAAUGCGGAAGAGAUAAGUGCUGAAAGCAUCUAAGCACGAAACUUGCCCCGAGAUGAGUUCUCCCUGAGACUUUAGGUCUCCUGAAGGAACGUUGAAGACGACGACGUUGAUAGGCCGGGUGUGUAAGCGCAGCGAUGCGUUGAGCUAACCGGUACUAAUGAACCGUGAGGCUUAACCUUACAACGCCGAAG